rnacentral:lncRNA from 13 species
UUAAACAUUGAAAAUGAAUUUAUAAUUCAAUUUAAAAAGUCACUCCAUCAUCCCACUGAUCUCACAGAUCCUCCUCAGCCCAGUCUAACAGUGAUUCCUGCAGUCAUCAAAGAGAGAGACUCAGUUCAGCUGAACUGUCAGACUCCUCCAUCUGUCUCUGAGUGUUACUUCAAAAUAGAGGGGAAAGUAGAAUUCACCCUUCCAUCACCCUGUCAACACACACUCACAGGAACACUACUGGUGAGGUGGACAGGUCAGAGUUCACCAGCUGAAGUCAAACUCCAAUGUCAGUACAGUGCUACAGGUUCACAGUUUAGAUCCAUAUACAGUGAGCCUUCAACAGUCACAAUUCAGGACCUUCCUCAGCUGACAGUGAGUUCUACAGUCAUCAGAGAAACAGAAUCAGUUCAGCUGAGUUGUGAGACUCCUCCAUCUCUCCGUGUGUCUCACUGUUACUUCUACAUAGAGGGGAGGAAGAAUCUUCCAGACUCAUCCUGUACUCAGACACUCACAGGAACAGAGCUGCUCAAGAGGGCAGAUCAAACGUUUCCAGAUGUGGUCAAAGUGACGUGUUACUACACUGUAUGGAAGUCUCACACAUCUCCUUUUAGUGACCCUGUCUCAGUCACUGUUCAGUAUCCAAAACCAGACAUUACAGUCAAUAUUGAUGAGGACUUCAACAUCAUCUGUUUGAUUCCUGGAUCCGUCAGUCCUGACACCACCUGUAACCUGUAUGUUGGAGAGGAGAGUCAGCCAUCCUUCACAGCAAAGAUCAUGAAGAGAAAAGCCACCUCAUUAUCCGGACAGCAGUUCUGUCAAUUCAAUCCAAAACAUAGUGAUCUGAUCAGUCGUUUACAGUCAGUGAGGAAUAAGGAGGUGAGCUGUGACUACAGAUUGAGCUCAGGACCAAACUCUCUCUCUCCACGCAGUGAUGGGCACAGCUUUACAGGUGAGACAUUAUCUAAACAAAUCUAUCAGUGCUGCAGGUCUUCAUGAUCUGACUCAGUUUGAUUUUAGCAUCUUCUUAGUAUGACUAUAUUAAUUCUGACCAACAAACUAAAUACCACAUUUCAAUCCCAAAUGAUUUUAGAUCUGGUGGGAGUUCACAUCAGUGAUCCAACAACUAUACAGACACCUUCUAUAGCAGGAAGUCCACAUAUUUGUGUAAAUAUGUGUAUGUGUAAAUAUGUGUAAAUGAAGCUGUUCUGUUAGAUAAUUAAGCUGUUCUAUAGAUAUGACACCAGCCUCAACACCAACGCCUGGGAUCAUCAGCACAAGUAUUAUAAUGUCUGUGUUCAUCUAGUCGAGUGUUUAGAUCGUAUCUAUACUCUGUUAGGCUUCUGCUGUUAGAUAACAUGGUGACUUUAUUCUAGGAAGCUGUCAACAACAAUCAACAGCUUAUCUGUCAUGAAAGACUUGAUCACCUUAUGAAUUGGUCUUAUCAUCUCUAUAAUGAGGAGAAACAUAAUCUACCAGGGCAGGAAGCAAUCUGUCCGUAGUGAUUUUAUAGUCCUACUUUUCCCACUUUGAAUAGACAAGUCAUGAAGGUAUUUCUAAAGGCCAACAACACCAUGAUGAUCAUUAAUACAAUCAUGAAUAAUAUGCUAAUUGUAUUAUUAUGUGUUUUCUCAGUGGGUUUGACUCCAGGUUCUCGAUCUACUUUGCCUCCCAGCACGACAGUGAGUCCUACAGAAGGUGUGUUGGGCCUCUAAAUGACCAUCUCUGAAAAUAGUAAUUAUACAAUCAAGAGUUUAGAUUACAGGCCUGUAAAAUGAAGUGACCCAAAUGUGAAUGUAAAACCUUAUUUUUGUGUAAUCAUAUUGCUUCCCACUAGUUUCAACUGUUACUUGUACCUUUUACCCCAGACACCACAGUGACACCAACUACCAGUAAGUAGAUCCACCAAUUUUAACUUAGUUUGCAAAUACAAUAUCUUUGUUCACAUUCAUUCACUAAAGCUCUGACUGGUUAACUAAUAGAUGUAUUCAUAGCUGCUUGUAAUUUCAGUCCAGAUUUUGAACCACUUUUAGUCCAUCUGAUUUGUAGGUAAUGUGUAGUGUACUUCUCUCUUCAUGCUUAUUGAAAGACCUUAGAUAUUACAUUCACUUUCAUUUGUUCUUGUGUAAUAUGAGUAAUACCUUCUCACCAGGUUUGACCUCCCCUUUGACCCCUAGCAGGGCAGUGAAUCCUUCAUCAGUUCUCCUAAUCAUCUUUAUCUAGUUAGCAAAUAUAAGUAAAACAAAUAGAGUAGCUUUAUCUUCUCCAUGUUAAUGUUUUUUUUUUACAUCACAAAUUUGCCUCAUUACAAAAAGAGGUUGAUAUUUGAUUGAUUCAAAUCAACCAAUUUAGAUGUAUUUUUGUAUAAUCAGAUCCAAUGAUUUGCUUUGCAUCAGGGUCGACUGUUUGCUGUACUUUGACCACUGACAAUUCAGUCAAGGCUUUAGGAUUAAUCAAACAAUUUGUCUCUUCUUAGAAAUAUUUUCCUAACUCUGUUAUUAAGUUGUCCUUCUCUCUUGCAUGUGACCAGGAGGUCAAAGCUCCACAGAAAGUGAAGUGGAAUCAAACAGUCAAGAAAGCAUUCUGUGUAAGUAUCCUUUUCUAGCUGUCUUUUCUCACACAUGAAAACAGAGCUGUGCACAUUUUCUUAGAAGAACAAGAGCUAAUGACCUCUCCCGAUGUCAUCAUGUCACCAAAUAGUGGGGCAAUUAUGGCAGGCAUCAGUGGGUGUGGCUUCUGGAGUGGGUGUGUUCCUGGUAGGAUUGACAGCUGUCUGUCUCUGCAGGAGGACCAGUGAGUACAUUUGAUUCUGCGUAACAAAUCAUUUUUAAAAUUUACCCUGCGGACAUUAAUGUAAGUGCCUUUGGCAACUCCUUUUGAUGAUAUUGUAUAGGUUAGACUAUAUUCAAUAUAAUGAAUUUAGCCUCAUUUGUUUUUCAGAGAAAACCAAUUCUCA